GUUGUCUGCUUUUAUGAUGGCAAACAGUUUCAUAAUGCUAAUGAUUGUUGGCUCAAAGUCAAGUUCUGUAGAAACUGCAAGAAAUUGGAGCACAUGUAGAAGAUGUGCAGGUCAGUGCGAGAAGCACAACCACCACCUUACAAGGGCAAUACCAGAGAAUUUCAGAUUCAUUAGUUUACAGAAGGCAACAUGGAAUCCAUGGAGAAUGCUGUAGCAUCUCUACAACUGUUUAAUUUAGAAGACAAAUGAGGCCACACUGAAAUGGACAUUCUUAUUGAUAUCUGGUGCAUUUGGAGAAAACUGACAUCUGGGGUGCAAAAGGAAGGUCAUGGGAAGAAAAGGAUAACUGGAAUUAGAAGCCUCCAGGACAAAUGGAGAAGCCAUCAUUUCCAGGAUUCUUUGGAUUCAAUUAAUUAAUACCCUACAGUUAAGACCAGGAGC